GACGAACGCUGGCGGCGUGCUUAACACAUGCAAGUCGAACGGAAAGGCCCUGCUUUUGUGGGGUGCUCGAGUGGCGAACGGGUGAGUAACACGUGAGUAACCUGCCCUUGACUUUGGGAUAACUUCAGGAAACUGGGGCUAAUACCGGAUAGGAGCUCCUGCUGCAUGGUGGGGGUUGGAAAGUUUCGGCGGUUGGGGAUGGACUCGCGGCUUAUCAGCUUGUUGGUGGGGUAGUGGCUUACCAAGGCUUUGACGGGUAGCCGGCCUGAGAGGGUGACCGGCCACAUGGGGACUGAGAUACGGCCCAGACUCAUACGGGAGGCAGCAGUGGGGAAUAUGGCACAAUGGGCGGAAGCCUGAUGCAGCAACGCCGCGUGCGGGAUGACGGCCUUCGGGUUGUAAACCGCUUUCGCCUGUGACGAAGCGUGAGUGACGGUAAUGGGUAAAGAAGCACCGGCGAACUACGU
rnacentral:rRNA from 1 species